AACGAACGCUGGCGGCAUGCCUAACACAUGCAAGUCGAACGAGACCUUCGGGUCUAGUGGCGCACGGGUGCGUAACGCGUGGGAACCUGCCCUUAGGUUCGGAAUAACUCCCCGAAAGGGGUGCUAAUACCGGAUAAUGUCUUCGGACCAAAGAUUUAUCGCCUUUGGAUGGGCCCGCGUUGGAUUAGCUAGUUGGUAGGGUAAAAGCCUACCAAGGCGACGAUCCAUAGCUGGUCUGAGAGGAUGAUCAGCCACACUGGGACUGAGACACGGCCCAGACUCCUACGGGAGGCAGCAGUGGGGAAUAUUGGACAAUGGGCGAAAGCCUGAUCCAGCAAUGCCGCGUGAGUGAUGAAGGCCUUAGGGUUGUAAAGCUCUUUUAACCGGGAUGAUAAUGACAGUACCAGGAGAAUAAGCGCCGGCUAACUCCGUG
rnacentral:rRNA from 1 species